GGCGGCAGCAGUUCUGUGCGCUGCAGGCUUCACCCAAUCCCUGCAAACCGUCCGUUGUUUUCCCUCUGUUCAACGGCUGAGCACCGCCAUGACGCGGGGUUCUAAUGGGCCUAGGAGUGGUGGGCAGUUAUGGCUGGGUCUUCGAAUGUUACAGUAAUUUUGUCAUCUGGCUUAUCACCACCUUCUGCCUCAUCACCACUUUCUACUUAAUCAUCAGCUCCUGCCUCAUCACCAGCCUCCUCAUCAAGAGCUGCAGUCAGACCACAACUUGGGAAAUCAACGAAGAGAUAAAUAAGUGAGCAGGGUGUUCUUGGCAAAGCAUAAUACUUCAAAACGAGACAGCAAACAGAGGAGGCGAUUGCAAAAGUCUGGUGCAGGAAACUGAAAGCAAUAUGCUUCUCCAGGACUGAUUGAGACCAGAGCAACAAAUAACAUCCCUACACACCCAGAAGAGAGAGCAUCAGGUAAAAUCAGGACAAAAAAAACAAAAUCUGUUCCUCAAACAGCAAGGCAAAGACACAAG